GGGGCUAGCAACGGCAGGUGAUUGGAAGGGGAAGAUCACGUGGGUAGCGGGGUGGCGCAACAAGUUAGGUUUUGCCUCUCCAGAGCUGGUAGGUUUUACUCCUCCACCCCACUCCAAGGGGCUCGUUUCCGUAAAAGGGAAACAUUUUGGGGACAGGAGCCAUUUUAGAAUGUAGGAGUGCUGGGGCCAUUUUUGUCUAGAGAACUAUAUCAGUAACAGCAUCCAUUAUGCUACUCUUAGAGAAGUUAACUGCAGGACACUUUGAGAAUCAAGACUCAGCAUUCAGGCUGGAGAGGAGAGAGGGUGAGGAGGGAACCCUGCAACACCUAAACUGAGUCUACAAGGUUUGUCAGGAUCCAGUCAUCAAGCUGAAAUAGGUCGAUCUGCUCUUAUUGACAACAGAUGUGUCUCAGUCACCCAGAAGAUGGAGAUGUAAGAAGCAACUGCAGUCAAAACAAACCUUCCUGACAACCAAUGACCCAGUGACAUUGGAGAAGCCCCCGACAGCAAAAUCGCCAGAGCUUGGACCCAGAUGUGGAAAGCAUGGGCAAGCGCAGGAAUGGAAAGAAGCAAUGCAGAGAGUGAGAAAUAAGAAUACAGAGCUCACAAUCAGAAGCAGCCAAAGCAGCAUAGCAGCUGAGAGCAGAGCUCUGCAGCCACACUGCCUGGGUUUGAAACUCAGAUCUAACUCGUGAUCUGCGCAGCUUUGGCCAAUGUCUGAACAUGAGUGUUCUUCAGUGUCCUUGAUUUUUCAUGAGUACAUCCCAGAACCUGCCCCUUGAAAGACUGUUGUGACUAUUGACCAAGUUAAUAUAUGCAAAGGGCUUGAAACUAAGUUGGCAAUUUAACAAGUACUCAGGAAAUGUUAACUGUAAUUAUUCUUCUGUGUGUGUUGGAUACCUGUAAGCAUAAAGUGCAUAGAAGUGACCUUCAGGUAAUGAUGAAGUGCUCCUGUAAACACUGACUCAGGAGACCUAAGUGAGGGAGCUCUUGUCCACUAUGUCCCCUCCCAUGACUGUGACUAAAGACCAAGACACACGAGCCGUCUUUCCUCAAACUGACUCUGGAAUACUGGACUUAUUCUUGAAUAGUUAAGACUUUAAAAG
rnacentral:lncRNA from 1 species